GACGAACGCUGGCGGCGUGCUUAACACAUGCAAGUCGAACGGUAAGGCCCUUCGGGGUACACGAGUGGCGAACGGGUGAGUAACACGUGGGUGAUCUGCCCUGCACUUCGGGAUAAGCCUGGGAAACUGGGUCUAAUACCGGAUAGGACCACCGCCUGCAUGGGUGGUGGUGGAAAGCUUUUGCGGUGUGGGAUGGGCCCGCGGCCUAUCAGCUUGUUGGUGGGGUGAUGGCCUACCAAGGCGACGAUCGGUAGCUGGUCUGAGAGGACGAUCAGCCACACUGGGACUGGGACACGGCCCAGCAUCCUACGGGAGGCAGCAGUGGGGAAUCUUGCGCAAUGGGCGAAAGCCUGACGCAGCGACGCCGCGUGCGGGAAGAAGGCCUUCGGGUUGUAAACCGCUUUCAGGAGGGACGAAGCCACUCGGGUUAAUAGCCUAGAGGGUGACGGUACCUCCAGAAGAAGCCCCGGCUAACUCUGUGC
rnacentral:rRNA from 1 species